AUAGACCUUAUUCAUAAAUCGUGAUGAGGCCUCGUAUCCUAGGAUACGGGAACAAAACGCGGGAAAACAAGCGAAAACUGCUUGACAAGCCAAAUUCAGAUGCUAUUGUGUCGACUUUAACGGCUUGUUUCUUGUUGCUUUUUGCGAUUUAUGACGAUUUUUGUGUGUAUUUUAAGACUUUGUUCCCACAACGAAAGCGGUAAACGAGUAUAUUAUAAAAGCGACC